UACGAAGGGGGGCUAGCGUUGCUCGGAUUGACUGGGCGUAAAGGGCGCGUAGGCGGUUCGUACAGUCAGACGUGAAAUUCCUGGGCUCAACCUGGGGGCUGCGUUUGAUACGUGCGGACUUGAGUGCGGAAGAGGGUCGUGGAAUUCCCAGUGAGAGGUGAAAUUCGUAGAUAUUCGGGAAGAACACCAGUGGCGGAAGG
rnacentral:rRNA from 1 species